CCUACGGGUGGCAGCAGUGGGGAAUAUUGGACAAUGGGCGCAAGCCUGAUCCAGCCAUGCCGCGUGAGUGAUGAAGGCCUUAGGGUUGUAAAGCUCUUUCGCCAGGGACGAUAAUGACGGUACCUGGAUAAGAAGCCCCGGCUAACUUCGUGCCAGCAGCCGCGGUAAUACGAAGGGGGCUAGCGUUGUUCGGAAUCACUGGGCGUAAAGCGCAUGCAGGCGGAUCGCUAAGUCGGGGGUGAAAGCCCGAGGCUCAACCUCGGAACUGCCUUCGAUACUGACGAUCUUGAGUCCGGGAGAGGUGAGUGGAACUCCGAGUGUAGAGGUGAAAUUCGUAGAUAUUCGGAAGAACACCAGUGGCGAAGGCGGCUCACUGGCCCGGUACUGACGCUGAGAUGCGAAAGCGUGGGGAGCAAACAGGAUUAGAUACCCCUGUAGUC
rnacentral:rRNA from 1 species